rnacentral:rRNA from 1 species
UACGGGGGGGGCAAGCGUUGUUCGGAAUUACUGGGCGUAAAGCGUGCGCAGGCGGUUGUGCAAGACAGAUGUGAAAUCCCCGGGCUUAACCUGGGAAUUGCAUUUGUGACUGCACGGCUAGAGUGUGUCAGAGGGGGGUAGAAUUCCACGUGUAGCAGUGAAAUGCGUAGAUAUGUGGAGGAAUACCGAUGGCGAAGGCAGCCCCCUGGGAUAACACUGACGCUCAUGCACGAAAGCGUGGGGAGCAAACAGG